AAUCCAUGCAUCAGGCAUUUCCUAAUUAACUCCUUAAAUCAUUCCCACCCUUCAUAUAGCGUUUCAUCUUCAAAUUGACGAAAGGAUGUAAUAUCAUUUCUCAACUU
rnacentral:snoRNA from 1 species